ensembl:lncRNA
GCGGUACCCAAGUGGGAGGUACUGAUGCAUUCUUUCUAUUGGCGGUGGUUUUGGUGGGUGGAAGUGAGGGUUGACCACAUGAUCCCUAGGACUGGUUUGGCCCUGGCUGACAGGGCUCUUCCCUUUCUUCACUCCCACACCCCAGCAAUGGUUGUGAAAGGGAAAACAGCUUUUAUUGUGAAGGUCCACGGGCUGAAAGAUGCCGGGGAAAUGGAAAGCUGUGAGAAACACGUUUAGGCAGAUUCUUUACCAUCUGAGCCACCAGGGAAGGCCACCAAAAGGCAUUACUUGAUUUAUAUUCUGAAGAAGCCGUUGUUCAGGAGUGAUACCAACUUAUUCAAAAACUGAAAUUAUUCUCUUGGAAUUGCUUAUCCAUUUUAUGAUAGUUUAAAUGAGAUAAAAAGACCAACCUCUCUGAGCAAGCAGAAAUUCUUGAGACCACCUUCAAACUUCAUCUUCAUCAUCAAUGCUCCUGCACCUCUAAUCUGCUGGCCUUUGGACUGAAACCUGGGACACUGGGGCUUUCAGGAAGCAUGGCAGUCUCUUUCAGUUCACAGUGAGAAAUCCAGACUCCCAAAAUUGUGUCCGUUCUGAUACCCACUGAGUGUCCUGGGGUGGCUCACUCACCUUUCCUGGGGUUAUCCUGUGCAUACUGAGGUGAAGAGCACAGCCUGCCAUCUCAGCGAUGGCGUUUACUAGAUAAAUCUUGUAAGGUUCUUUGAAGAUGAGAAGAGUUACACACCCACGCUGUUUUAUUGUUCUAUCUCACAUUUGAUCAUAUUCUUCCUAAAAGAUCUCUGCCAUGAUUGGUGCGCC